UACGAGGGGGGCAAGCGUUGUUCGGAAUCAUUGGGCGUAAAGGGCGCGUAGGUGGUUCUGUAUGUCUACCGUGAAAGCGUACAGCUCAACCGUAUUUUGUCGGUAGAAACUGCAGGACUUGAGGCUGGGAGGGGCUGGUGGAAUUCCCUGUGUAGCGGUGAAAUGCGUAGAUAUCGGGAGGAACACCUGUGGCGAAAGCGGCGCACUGGACCACUACUGACGCUGAGGCGCGAAAGCUAGGGGAGCAAACAGG
rnacentral:rRNA from 1 species